rnacentral:ncRNA from 1 species
GCUGGGGGAGCUUGGUUUAUCCAGGCUGAGAGGGCAACAAACAGGUUGUCGACCCCUUAUUACCUGAUCUGGAUAAUUCCAGCGUAGGGAAAGCCUG